GUGUGUCCUCCUGCAGCGGCUCCAGGUUCCUCACCUGUCUGCUGUGUCUCUGCAGAGGCUCUAGUCACUGUGGUGGAAGUCGAAUCCGACCAAGAAGACAGCAAAGCUCUCCCACCUAGGUCUGUUCACUCUGAGUCUGAGACCAUCACUGCCAAUUUCAUCAGACUAAAACUAGAGUUGAUGAAAACAAAGGCAGGAUGAAUAAAACUGUGUCAAAUUUGAUUAAUAUUUGUGUCAAUGAAUAAAAAGAAGAGAAAAAUCCUCCUAAAGGUGAAAUCUAAUCAGGAGUGAUGUAGUUGAUUUCAGUUUUAAACAAAUCGGCGGUGUCAAAACAAUAUACACUAUUCAGAUACUUGUGAUUUUUGUUUGUGUGUGACAGGAUUAUAGACUGGAUCAAACAGGGAAUAGAGAAAGUUGUUCCCCAGCCUGAGAUCUACAUUAGAGCGAAAAUAGACGAGGACCAACAACCUGAGCCUUCCGCAACUGGAAAAGACAUGGCCCCUCCAACUAGAAAAGCAUCGGAUACAGACAAGUCCACUGUGGAAGUUGAGCAGCAGCCAAAGUAUGUUGACCAUCACUUUGUAUUUUCCAGAACAAAGAAUGUGUGCAUGGUUAAAGAAAAAGAGAAAAAUAAGAUAAAAUGUUUCCCGUUGUUAUGUUCAGUGUAAUGGGAUGGAUCAUCAGUGGGAUCAGUCGCAUGUUGCCUCAGCCCGUCAUCAGGCCGGUGAGUCACACAGACAUUCAAUGUUAAAUAAAUGUGAUCAAAUCACUCAAACUGUGUUUGGUUUACAGACACAGCAAGUCCCGACUGAUGAAGUGCAAAGCAUCGUCCAAAAGAAAGGUGAUUUGGUGCUGGAGGACGUGGACGAACACCAGGCAGAACAGGAAGUGAUGGACAAACCUCAGUCACACAACAAAGAGGUUCUGCAGCCAUUGGACAAGAAUAAGGAGCAGAUGGAUCCCCUGAUGGAGAGAAUAAAGAAGGAGACAGAGGAGGAGGUUCAGGCUCAGGUGGAGGAAAGGCUGCAGCAGGAGCGACUGGAAGCUGCCCUCGUGGCAGAGGAAGUGGCUCGACGUGCUGCAGAGGAUGCAGUGAGACAGCUGGAGGCGGAGCAACUGGCAACGGUGGUCACCGACGUCCUGCCAGAGAGCAACGAGCAAUUACCAAACAUCCAGGAGGAGAACGAGGAUGAUCCAGAUGGGCUGGUGGUUGAGGCUGAAGCUGAAGCUGUGACUCAGGUGGAGAUCAUCGAGUCUUUAUCUUCUCCCAUUAAAUCUGAAGUGGCUCCUGCUUCAGUGGAACCGCCCAGAUCUGAGAAGAGAGAGCCGGAGGGCCCGGCCCCCCCACCAGUCUGCCAACAGCCUGAACAACAACUAACUCAUGAAGCUGCGCCCACCACCACAGACAAGGGUUUUGUUUCUCCUCAGGAUGGAGCAGCAAAACAACAACAGGAAAGCGAAGUUUCUGAAGUUUGCUCUCCGAUAAAGAGCUUCCUGCUUCGGUUCCCGCUCGCUGCUGAGUGUCUGCAGAGCUGCUGUAAAUGGGUGCACGACAGCAGCCUCAACCCGACUUCGCUGCCCUCACCGCCCGAGCUCUCACAGCUCACACAGCUUCACAAGCAGGCGCACAAGUGCUGCAUGAGCAUCGUCAGCCGCCUCCGACGCCUUAACGCUGGCACCCAGCAUCCUCAGCAGCCUUAA
ensembl:lncRNA